UACGUAGGUGGCAAGCGUUGUCCGGAUUUACUGGGCGUAAAGCGCGCGUAGGCGGCCUACUAAGUCAGACGUGAAAUCCCCCGGCUUAACCUGGGAACUGCGUCUGAUACUGGAAGGCUUGAGGAUGGGAGAGGGAUGUAGAAUUCCAGGUGUAGCGGUGAAAUGCGUAGAUAUCUGGAGGAACACCGGUGGCGAAGGCGGCAUCCUGGACCGGCAUUGACGCUGAGGCGCGAAAGCCAGGGGAGCAAACGGG
rnacentral:rRNA from 1 species